CAAUAAGUAGUUUAAUUGAGAAUGCUGGCUUUGGGAGCCAGUGGUGAAGGUUAAAGUCCUUCUUUCUUGA
rnacentral:tRNA from 1 species